UACCAGCACCCCGAGUGGUCGGGACGAUUAUUGGGCCUAAAGCAUCCGUAGCCGGUUCUACAAGUCUUCCGUUAAAUCCACCUGCUCAACAGUUGGGCUGCGGAGGAUACUAUAGAGCUAGGAGGCGGGAGAGGCAAGCGGUACUUAGUGGGUAGGGGUAAAAUCCGUUGAUCCAUUGAAGACCACCAGUAGCGAAGGCGGCUUGCCAGAAUGCGCUCGACGGUGAGGGAUGAAAGCUGGGGGAGCAAACCGG
rnacentral:rRNA from 1 species